CAUGCAAGUCGAACGGAAAGGCCCUUCGGGGUACUCGAGUGGCGAACGGGUGAGUAACACGUGGGUGAUCUGCCCUGCACUUUGGGAUAAGCCUGGGAAACUGGGUCUAAUACCGAAUAUGACCGCGCACUUCCUGGUGUGUGGUGGAAAGCUUUUGCGGUGUGGGAUGGGCCCGCGGCCUAUCAGCUUGUUGGUGGGGUAAUGGCCUACCAAGGCGACGACGGGUAGCCGGCCUGAGAGGGUGACCGGCCACACUGGGACUGAGAUACGGCCCAGACUCCUACGGGAGGCAGCAGUGGGGAAUAUUGCACAAUGGGCGCAAGCCUGAUGCAGCGACGCCGCGUGAGGGAUGACGGCCUUCGGGUUGUAAACCUCUUUCACUAGGGACGAAGCGUAAGUGACGGUACCUAGAGAAGAAGCACCGGCCAACUACGUGCCAGCAGCCGCGGUAAUACGUAGGGUGCGAGCGUUGUCCGGAAUUACUGGGCGUAAAGAGCUCGUAGGUGGUUUGUCGCGUUGUUCGUGAAAACUCACA
rnacentral:rRNA from 1 species